GACGAACGCUGGCGGCGUGCUUAACACAUGCAAGUCGAGCGGUAAGGCCCUUUCGGGGGUACACGAGCGGCGAACGGGUGAGUAACACGUGGGUGACCUGCCCUCAGCUCUGGGAUAAGCCUGGGAAACCGGGUCUAAUACCGGAUAUGACUCCAUGACGCAUGCUGUGGGGUGGAAAGCCUUGUGCGGCUGAGGAUGGGCCCGCGGCCUAUCAGCUUGUUGGUGGGGUGANGGCCUACCAAGGCGACGACGGGUAGCCGGCCUGAGAGGGCGACCGGCCACACUGGGACUGAGACACGGCCCAGACUCCUACGGGAGGCAGCAGUGGGGAAUCUUGCGCAAUGGGCGAAAGCCUGACGCAGCGACGCCGCGUGAGGGAUGACGGCCU
rnacentral:rRNA from 1 species